rnacentral:rRNA from 1 species
AUGACAUAUCGGAACCACAUGGUUUUGAUAUCAAAGAUUUUAUCGCUUGAAGAUGGACUCGCGUCCGAUUAGUUAGUUGGUGAGGUAACGGCUCACCAAGACCGCGAUCGGUAGCCGGACUGAGAGGUUGAACGGCCACAUUGGGACUGAGACACGGCCCAGACUCCUACGGGAGGCAGCAUG